UACGGAGGAUCCAAGCGUUAUCCGGAAUCAUUGGGUUUAAAGGGUCCGUAGGCGGUUUUGUACGUCAGUGGUGAAAGCCCAUCGCUCAACGGUGGAACGGCCAUUGAUACUGCAAGACUUGAAUUAUUGGGAAGUAACUAGAAUAUGUAGUGUAGCGGUGAAAUGCUUAGAGAUUACAUGGAAUACCAAUUGCGAAGGCAGGUUACUACCAAUAUAUUGACGCUGAUGGACGAAAGCGUGGGGAGCGAACAGG
rnacentral:rRNA from 1 species